rnacentral:rRNA from 1 species
AGCGGCGGACGGGUGAGUAACGCGUAGGAAUCUACCUGGUAAUGGGGGAUAACGUUCCGAAAGGAACGCUAAUACCGCAUACGCCCUAAGGGGGAAAGUGGGGGACCUUCGGGCCUCACGUUAUCAGAUGAGCCUGCGUAGGAUUAGCUAGUUGGUAGGGUAAAGGCCUACCAAGGCGACGAUCCUUAACUGGUCUGAGAGGAUGAUCAGUCACACUGGAACUGAGACACGGUCCAGACUCCUACGGGAGGCAGCAGUGGGGAAUAUUGGACAAUGGGGGCAACCCUGAUCCAGCCAUGCCGCGUGUGUGAAGAAGGCCUUCGGGUUGUAAAGCACUUUCGGUCAGAAAGAAGGGUGUGUCGUUAAUAGCGGCAUACUUUGACGGUACUGACAUAAGAAGCACCGGCUAACUCCGUGCCAGCAGCCGCGGUAAUACGGAGGGUGCAAGCGUUAAUCGGAAUUACUGGGCGUAAAGCGCGCGUAGGCGGUUUGUUAAGUCGGAUGUGAAAGCCCCGGGCUCAACCUGGGAACUGCAUACGAUACUGGCAAGCUAGAGUGCAAUAGAGGGGGGUAGAAUUCCAGGUGUAGCGGUGAAAUGCGUAGAUAUCUGGAGGAAUACCGGUGGCGAAGGCGGCCCCCUGGAUUGACACUGACGCUGAGGUGCGAAAGCGUGGGUAGCAAACAGGAUUAGAUACCCUGGUAGUCCACGCCGUAAACGAUGUCAACUAGC